UACGAAGGUCCCGAGCGUUGUUCGGAAUCACUGGGCGUAAAGGGAGCGUAGGCGGCAUGGUAAGUCAGAUGUGAAAUCCCGGGGCUCAACCCCGGAACUGCAUCCGAUACUGCCUUGCUUGAGGGUUGGAGAGGUAGCUGGAAUUAUCGGUGUAGCAGUGAAAUGCGUGGAUAUCGAUAGGAACACUCGUGGCGAAGGCGAGCUACUGGACAACAUCUGACGCUGAGGC
rnacentral:rRNA from 1 species